GUGCUUGCUUUGGCAGCAUAUAUUCUAAAAUUGGAAUGAUUCAAAGAAGAUUAACAUGGCCCCUGUGCAAGGAUGACAUGCAAAUUCCAUGUUUUU
rnacentral:snRNA from 1 species